rnacentral:rRNA from 1 species
UACCAGCACCCCGAGUGGUCGGAACGUUUUAUUGGGCCUAAAGCAUCCGUAGCCGGUCCUGCAAGUCUUCCGUUAAAUCCAGCUGCUCAACAGAUGGGCUGCGGGAGAUACUACAGGGCUAGGAGGCGGGAGAGGCAAGCGGUACUUUAUGGGUAGGGGUAAAAUCCGCUGAUCCAUAGAAGACCACCAGUGGCGAAGGCGGCUUGCCAGAACGCGCUCGACGGUGAGGGAUGAAAGCUGGGGGAGCAAACCGG